rnacentral:misc_RNA from 1 species
GAUGAAGAACGCAGCGAAAUGCGAUAAGUAAUGUGAAUUGCAGAAUUCAGUGAAUCAUCGAAUCUUUGAACGCACAUUGCGCCCAUUAGUAUUCUAGUGGGCAUGCCUGUUCGAGCGACAUUUCAACCCUUAAGCCUAGCUUAGUAUUGGGAAUCGACUUUACUGUCGUUCCUCAAAUUCAACGGCGGAUUUAUAGCAAUCUCUGAACGUAGUAAUUUUUUUCCUCGUUUUUGAAAUACUAUAAACCUCAGCCGCUAAACCCCCAAUUUUUCUAUGGUUGACCUCGGAUCAGGUAGGAAUACCCGCUGAACUUAAGCAUAUCAAUAAGCGGAGGA